rnacentral:pre_miRNA from 2 species
GUAGUACUCCCUCCGUCCGAAAAUAUUUGUCAUAAGAAUAGAUGUAUUUUAGUUCCAGAUACAUCAAUUCUUAUUAUACGACAAGUAAUUCCGGACGGAGGGAGUAUAUC